ACUAGUGUACUGCAGCUGGGCAGGCACACUCCUCGCAGACCCGGCGCUCUCCAAGGAGAAAAGAAAGUUAGUGGGCUUGGGGUACUAUGGCAGAAAUGGCCAGGGAAGGGUUUAUCUAACCACCAGGAGUACGCAAAGAAGAGAGGUCCAGCCAGCCUGCCUCUCAGAUUGUUAAGAUGCCAGGUGUCUUUUGGCUCAUGGAAACAGCUGUUCUGCCCCCUCCCGAACCCUAGACUCACAGCUACACUCUAUGGGUGGGACCAAAAUGCAAUUGCAUAUUUCUUUAUAAGCAGGAGAUUUCACAAAGAAAAGGAGAAGGCAAGAACCACAGAGGCAAAGAUUGGAGAGAUGUGGCUGCAAGUCAGGCAGUAUCUAGCUGCCACUAGAUACUGGAAGAGUCAAGGAAUGGACUCUCCCUGGAGACUCCAGAGAAAACCUAGCCCUUCUGACUCCUUGAUUGUUGCCUUAUAAGACUCAUUUCAGACUUUAGGCUGCGUAUGAGAGAAUAAAUUUCUGUUGUUUUAAGCCACAAAGUUUGUGACCACAAUAAUAAUAUAGCACCAUUUAUAACAAAGCACUAUGUUUUUAUCUGUAUUAGUAUAGUUAUCACCGUCUUUCUUACUUUAUACCUGGUGGAUACCUAUUGAUUUUCUUUUUAGAGGGCAGGGAUCUGUCUUAUUCAUGAGUGAAUACUCUGCUGCACCUGGGAACUAAAGUGUUUGCCAUAGGAGUGCAGUAAAGUUUGUUCAAAUGGAUCUGAAGCUCAGUCUCUGUGGUGCCCAUAUUCUUGUGUGCAUACAGGGAAAGGACAAAGGGAAGGCUGCUUCCUGAAGAGAUCUCCAUAUGGAAGAGCUGCAGAUCACAAACAACCCACACAGCCAUUGUAACGCCUGCUUGCCUGGUCACUUGUGUUUCUGAGAAGCCAUAACUCCAAGAAUAGCGAAGGGAAGAAAAUGCCAAAAAGCAGGGGCUGCCUAACAGGUCUGACUUGCAAGGCAAACUCCUGGCAGGCCUGGCCAGCUUCUGCUUGUCCCAGUGCAAUCCCACCCCCAUAGGAUCUGGAAUUUUUCAGUCCCUUUGCUAAGAUUCCUGAAAUAGACUUAAUGAAGAGCCUCAGAAGUGAAAAUUCCUCUUCACACAUUUGCUCAAGAAGAUUGCUUUUCUCCUAACACAGAAAUCAGCUGCCUUGAGGAUGUGCAAGUUUGAUUAGGGAGUCUGCUCUUGCCUAUUUCUCAAACGGUUCAGGCCCUGACAGAAUCAGUGUCACCCCUAAGGUAUUUGCUUCAAAUGCCCCCCAUAUAAUCAAAACUUAUAAAUGAUAAACCAAAAGUUGAGGUACACUCAUUGCCUUUCAGAAUGAAACCUUCCAAGGGGCCAUGAUCAUAUUGUGACUGGACAAGAACUAUCAUGGAUGAGGCACAUCAUCUUUUGGAACCAUCUAUGGAACAGAUAUUAUUAUUCCAUUUUGCGGAAGAGGAAUCUGAGGCUCAGGCCAGACAGAUGCAGCUAACGUUGAGUGGCAUCCUGAUGAUCACCUUCAUCACAAAAGGAAGGAGUGCUCUGAGGACUGUAGGUGGCUCUCAGAACCCUGACCUCCACGGCAGCCAUCAAGGAGUGGCAAAGGGGGUCCACAGUGGCAUAUGCAGUGAGAUCCAAGUUUUAGGCAUUCGGAGUAGAGCAAGCCACGAAUGAGAACAGGUUCUGAAAGUGACAGAAAAGGAGUCACUUUUUUGGUUCCAUAUGAACUUUAAGGUAGUUUUUUCCCAGUUCUGUGAAGAAAGUCAUUGGUAGCUUGAUGGGGAUGGCAUUGAAUCUAUAAAUUACCUUGGACAGUAUGGCCAUUUUCAUGAUAUUGAUUCUUCCUACCCAUGAGCAUGGAAUGUUCUUCCAUUUGUUUGUAUCCUCUUUUAUUUCCUUGAGCAGUGGUUUGUAGUUAUCCUUGAAGAGGUUCUUCACAUCCCUUGUAAGUUGGAUUCCUAGGUAUUUUAUUCUCUUUGAAGCAAUUGUGAAUGGGAGUUCACUCAUGAUUUGGCUCUCUGUUUGUCUGUUGUUAGUGUAUAAGAAUGCUUGUGAUUUUUGUACAUUGAUUUUGUAUCCUGAGACUUUGCUGAAGUUGCUUAUCAGCUUAAGGAGAUUUUGGGCUGAGACAAUGGGGUUUUCUAGAUAUACAAUCAUGUCAUCUGCAAACAGGGACAAUUUGACUUCCUCUUUUCCUAAUUGAAUACCCUUUAUUUCCUUGUCCUGCCUAAUUGCCCUGGCCAGAACUUCCAACACUAUGUUGAAUAGGAGUGGUGAAAGAGGACAUCCCUGUCUUGUGCCAGUUUUCACAGGGAAUGCUUCCAGUUUUUGCCCAUUCAGUAUGAUAUUGGCUGUGGGUUUGUCAUAGAUAGCUCUUAUUAUUUUGACAUACGUCCCAUCAAUACCUAAUUUAUUGAGAGUUUUUAGCAUGAAGCGUUGUUGAAUUUUGUCAAAGGCCUUUUCUGCAUCUAUUGAGAUAAUCAUGUGGUUUUUGUCUUUGGUUCUGUUUAUAUGCUGGAUUACAUUUAUUGAUUUGUGUAUAUUGAACCAGCCUUGCAUCCCAGGGAUGAAGCCCACUUGAUCAUGGUGGAUAAGCUUUUUGAUGUGCUGCUGGAUUCGGUUUGCCAGUAUUUUAUUGAGGAUUUUUGCAUCAAUGUUCAUCAGGGAUAUUGGUCGAAAAUUCUCUUUUUUGGUUGUAUCUCUGCCCGGCUUUGGUAUCAGGAUGAUGCUGGCCUCAUAAAAUGAGUUAGGGAGUAUUCCCUCUUUUUCUAUUGAUUGGAAUAUCACCAAGUCCAUCCUAAGCCAAAAGAACAAAGCUGGAGGCAUCACACUACCUGACUUCAAACUAUACUACAAGGCUACAGUAACCAAAACAGCAUGGUACUGGUACCAAAACAGAGAUAUAGAUCAAUGGAACAGAACAGAGCCCUCAGAAAUAACACCGCAUAUCUACAAUUAUCUGAUCUUUGACAAACCUGACAAAAACAAGCAAUGGGGAAAGGAUUCCCUAUUUAAUAAAUGGUGCUGGGAAAACUGGCUAGCCAUAUGUAGAAAGCUGAAACUGGAUCCCUUCCUUACACCUUAUACAAAAAUCAAUUCAAGAUGGAUUAAAGACUUAAACGUUAGACCUAAAACCAUAAAAACCCUAGAAGAAAACCUAGGCAUUACCAUUCAGGACAUAGGCAUAGGCAAGGACUUCAUGUCUAAAACACCAAAAGCAGUGGCAACAAAAGCCAAAAUUGACAAACGGGAUCUAAUUAAGCUAAAGAGCCUCUGCACAGCAAAAGAAACUACCAUCAGAGUGAACAGGCAACCUACAAAAUGGGAGAAAAUUUUCGCAACCUACUCAUCUGACAAAGGGCUAAUAUCCAGAAUCUACAAUGAACUCAAACAAAUUUACAAGAAAAAAACAAACAACCCCACCAAAAAGUGGGUGAAGGACAUGAACAGACACUUUUCAAAAGAAGACAUUUAUGCAGCCAAAAAACACAUGAAAAAAUGCUCACCAUCACUGGCCAUCAGAGAAAUGCAAAUCAAAACC
rnacentral:lncRNA from 1 species